GGACGACCAGCCACACUGGCACUGAGAUACGGGCCAGACUCCUACGGGAGGCAGCAGUGAGGAAUAUUGCGCAAUGGGGGAAACCCUGACGCAGCAACGCCGCGUGUGGGAAGAAGGCCUUCGGGUCGUAAACCACUUUUGCACGGGACGAAAAAGGGAUAUCGAACAAAUAUCCCCGAUGACGGUACCGUGAGAAUAAGCCACGGCUAACUCUGUGCCAGCAGCCGCGGUAAGACAGAGGUGGCAAGCGUUGUUCGGAAUUACUGGGCGUAAAGAGUCUGUAGGUGGUUUGUCAAGUCUUUGGUGAAAGGCCGUAGCUUAACUAUGGGAAUGCCAAAGAGACUGGCAGGCUGGAGGCUGGGAGAGGGAAGCGGAAUUUCUGGUGUAGCGGUGAAAUGCGUAGAUAUCAGAAGGAAGGCCGGUGGCGAAGGCGGCUUCCUGGAACAGUCCUGACAC
rnacentral:rRNA from 1 species